GCAGUGAUGGUUUAGUGGUAGAAUUCUAGCCUUCCAAGUUGGAAGCCUGGGUUCAACUCUCAGCCAACGCG
rnacentral:tRNA from 1 species